rnacentral:rRNA from 1 species
CCCUUAGACGCUCUAGGCGGCACGCGCGCUACAAUGGGUGGUAGAACGUGUAACUGCUCCCGAAAGGGAGGGUGAACCACGAAUACUUACCCGUGAAUGGGAUAGUUUGUUGCAAUUUUCGGACUUGAACUAGGAAUCCCUUGUAAGAAUGCCCAAGAAUAGCGUGCUGAAUACGUCCCUGCCGUUUGUACACACCGCCCGUCGUUUCUUCCGACUGAUACUCAUUGUGAGUUGCAAGGAUUCUUAUUGAAAAAUUGCUGCGAAUGCUUUGUAUUGGAGGAAGAAAAAGUCGUAACA